GAAAUGCGAUAAGUAGUGUGAAUUGCAGAAUUCAGUGAAUCUUCGAAUCUUUGAACGCACAUUGCGCCCUUUGGUAUUCCUUAGGGCAUGCCUGUUCGAGCGUCAUCUAAACCUUCAAGCCCUGCUUGGUGUUGGGUGCCUGUCCCGCCUCCGCGCGCGGACUCACCUCAAAUCCAUUGGCGGCCCCCGCGUCGGCCACGAGCGCAGCAGAAACGCGAACUCGUGAGCCCGUCCGGGCGGCUCCCAGAAGCUACACCCACCCAGUUUGACCUCGGAUCAGGUAGGGAUACCCGCUGAACUUAAGC
rnacentral:misc_RNA from 1 species